CCUGGAGAAGUACGGCACAGAUCAAUGUCUGUAUAAGCGCCGUAUAAAACGAUCCGGUCAUAAAAUACGCAGACACCGCAAAAACGAUCAGUACCCCUGUCAUGCUGACAAAGACGCGCGGUGCGUACAUAAUUCCUCCUCCCGAACUUAAACUUGCUCAGUUCAUCGAUCUUUCGGCUCCUCU
rnacentral:sRNA from 1 species